UGGGGAAUAUUGCGCAAUGGGGGAAACCCUGACGCAGCGACGCCGCGUGCGGGAUGAAGGCCUUCGGGUUGUAAACCGCUUUUGAUUGGGAGCAAGCCUUUUGGGUGAGUGUACCUUUCGAAUAAGCGCCGGCUAACUACGUGCCAGCAGCCGCGGUAAUACGUAUGUUGCGAGCGUUAUCCGGAAUUAUUGGGCUUAAAGGGCAUCUAGGCGGUAAGACAAGUUGAAGGUGAAAACCUGUGGCUCAACCAUAGGCUUGCCUACAAAACUGUUGAACUAGAGUACUGGAAAGGUGGGUGGAACUACACGAGUAGAGGUGAAAUUCGUAGAUAUGUGUAGGAAUGCCGAUGAUGAAGAUAACUCACUGGACAGAAACUGACGCUGAAGUGCGAAAGCUAGGGGAGCAAACAGG
rnacentral:rRNA from 1 species